rnacentral:rRNA from 1 species
UACGUAGGGGGCGAGCGUCGUCCGGAUUUAUUGGGCGUAAAGAGCUCGUAGGCGGUUCGAUAAGUCGGACGUGAAAUCUCCACGCUCAACGUGGAGGGGCCGUUCGAUACUGUCGUGACUCGAGUCCGGUAGGGGAGUGUGGAAUUCCCGGUGUAGCGGUGAAAUGCGCAGAGAUCGGGAGGAACACCCGUAGCGAAGGCGGCACUCUGGGCCGGUACUGACGCUGAGGAGCGAAAGCGUGGGGAGCAAACAGG